rnacentral:rRNA from 1 species
UACGAAGGGGGCUAGCGUUGUUCGGAAUUACUGGGCGUAAAGGGCGCGUAGGCGGACAGUUUAGUCAGAGGUGAAAGCCCAGGGCUCAACCUUGGAAUAGCCUUUGAUACUGGCUGUCUUGAGUUCGGGAGAGGUGAGUGGAAUGCCGAGUGUAGAGGUGAAAUUCGUAGAUAUUCGGCGGAACACCAGUGGCGAAGGCGACUCACUGGCCCGAUACUGACGCUGAGGCGCGAAAGCUAGGGGAGCAAACGGG